AACGAACGCUGGCGGCAUGCCUAACACAUGCAAGUCGAACGAGACCUUCGGGUCUAGUAGCGCACGGGUGCGUAACGCGUGGGAACCUGCCCUUAGGUUCGGAAUAACUCCCCGAAAGGGGUGCUAAUACCGGAUAAUGUCUUCGGACCAAAGAUUUAUCGCCUUUGGAUGGGCCCGCGUUGGAUUAGCUAGUUGGUAGGGUAAAAGCCUACCAAGGCGACGAUCCAUAGCUGGUCUGAGAGGAUGAUCAGCUACACUGGGACUGAGACACGGCCCAGACUCCUACGGGAGGCAGCAGUGGGGAAUAUUGGACAAUGGGCGAAAGCCUGAUCCAGCAAUGCCGCGUGAGUGAUGAAGGCCUUAGGGUUGUAAAGCUCUUUUACCCGGGAUGAUAAUGACAGUACCGGGAGAAUAAGCUCCGGCUAACUCCGU
rnacentral:rRNA from 1 species